rnacentral:misc_RNA from 1 species
AAAGGAUUCAGCGCUAUUAGAGGC